rnacentral:rRNA from 1 species
UGGGGAAUUUUGGACAAUGGGGGAAACCCUGAUCCAGCCAUCCCGCGUGUGCGAUGAAGGCCUUCGGGUUGUAAAGCACUUUUGGCAGGAAAGAAACGUCGCGGGUUAAUACCCCGCGAAACUGACGGUACCUGCAGAAUAAGCACCGGCUAACUACGUGCCAGCAGCCGCGGUAAUACGUAGGGUGCAAGCGUUAAUCGGAAUCACUGGGCGUAAAGCGUGCGCAGGCGGUUCGGAAAGAAAGAUGUGAAAUCCCAGAGCUUAACUUUGGAACUGCAUUUUUAACUACCGGGCUAGAGUGUGUCAGAGGGAGGUGGAAUUCCGCGUGUAGCAGUGAAAUGCGUAGAUAUGCGGAGGAACACCGAUGGCGAAGGCAGCCUCCUGGGAUAACACUGACGCUCAUGCACGAAAGCGUGGGGAGCAAACAGGAUUAGAUACCCUGGUAGUCCACGCCCUAAACGAUGUCAACUAGCUGUUGGGGCCUUCGGGCCUUGGUAGCGCAGCUAACGNGUGAAGUUGACCGCCUGGGGAGUACGGUCGCAAGAUUAAAAACUCAAAGG